rnacentral:rRNA from 1 species
GAUCCUGGCUCAGGAUGAACGCUAGCUACAGGCUUAACACAUGCAAGUCGAGGGGCAGUAUGUUGGUUGCUUGCAACCAAUGAUGGCGACCGGCGCACGGGUGAGUAACGCGUAUCCAACCUUCCGCAUACUCGGGAAUAGCCUUUCGAAAGAAAGAUUAAUGCCCGAUGGUUUCCCGAAUCCGCAUGAGAACGGGAAUAAAGAUUCAUCGGUAUGCGAUGGGGAUGCGUCCCAUUAG